AAAGAGCUUGCUCUUUCCGGAAUUGAGUGGCAAACGGGUGAGUAACACGUAAACAACCUGCCUUCAGGAUGGGGACAACAGACGGAAACGACUGCUAAUACCGAAUAAGUUCCAAGAGCCGCAUGGCCCAUGGAAGAAAAGGUGGCCUCUACCUGUAAGCUAUCGCCUGAAGAGGGGUUUGCGUCUGAUUAGCUAGUUGGCGAGGUAACGGCCCACCGUGCCGACAACGGGUAGCCGGGUUGAGAGACCGACCGGCCAGAUUGGGACUGAGACACGGCCCAGACUCC
rnacentral:rRNA from 1 species